AGAGUUUGAUCAUGGCUCAGAGUGAACGCUGGCGGCGUGCCUAACACAUGCAAGUCGAACGAGAACGGAUAUAAGUUUACUUAUAUUGUCAGCUAAGUGGCGCACGGGUGAGUAAUAUAUAGUUAAUCUGCCCUGAAGAAGAGAAUAAUUGUUGGAAACGACUUGUAAUGCUCUAUAUGCCUUUAUCACAUAAGUGAGCAAGGGAAAUAUUUAUAGCUUCGGGAUGAGACUGUACGGUAUCAGCUAGUUGGUGAGGUAAUGGCUCACCAAGGCUAUGACAUCUAACUGGUUUGAGAGGAUGAUCAGUCACACUGGAACUGAGACACGGUCCAGACUCCUACGGGAGGCAGCAGUGGGGAAUAUUGCACAAUGGAGGAAACUCUGAUGCAGCAACGCCGCGUGGAGGAUGACACAUUUCGGUGCGUAAACUCCUUUUAUUAGGGAAGAUAAUGACGGUACCUAAUGAAUAAGCACCGGCUAACUCCGUGCCAGCAGCCGCGGUAAUACGGGGGGUGCAGGCGUUACUCGGAAUCACUGGGCGUAAAGAGCAUGUAGGCUGAUUAGUAAGUUGGAAGUGAAAUCCUAUGGCUCAA
rnacentral:rRNA from 1 species